AGCAAGCUUCUUCAGUCGACAGCACAUACAUCUCGGGAGCGGACGGGUUAUAUAUUUGUGCGACUACUUUGUGCUUUUUUGUUGAUAACCGCUGGAAUUACGAGCUGUCUACACUCUCAGUUAACGACCAAGCAAAUAAACAGAGGUUAUGAAAGAUUGGCGCAUGCGUACUAAGCCUCUUAAUGUCUUGUGUCGGCUACCGGAUGUAAGGCUAUCGCAGUUGAAGCGAUCAUCUCUUGAGCAUAUACACGGCUUCCCAGAACUGAGCAUCUGCUGAGUUGAACACCUACAGAGCGCCACCAUCAUUAUGUCGCUGGUCACAGUUUUGGGCAGUAUGGGUACCGGGGGCAGGGUUCCUGGCAAGGGCAAUGUAUACGGAUUUGGGGGAAUUCCACCGUCUUUGAAGGAGAAAAAACUAAAGGAAGCAAAGAUUCAGAACGCUGUGGCCAAGGCGAGAGUCACUACCCCUGAGACACACAACGAACCUAAAAAGAAAGAGGAGAGUAAAUGAGAGAACGUGGAGAUGAAGAAAUGCUGUUGGUGAGGUUCUUCGUGCCUGGAGCAGCCUAGACGGAGGCUGACCGUUUUUAUAUCUGAAGGAGGAGCCGCCCCUGCUGGAGCCCUACUCGCACAAAGGCCAACAGAGGGCUUGGUAGUGGGCGGCUUCCUGCCACUUAGGUGUUCUUUGCUGACUGGCUUACUCAAGGGCGUCGUCGUCUGUCAGGGCCCCAGAGCGCUCUGCUCCCCUGUAGGGCCAUCUGGACACUGAGCUAGUAGCUCUCUGAGAGUCGUGAACAAGUAGUUCACAUCUCUCCUAGGGCUCUUGAACAUGUAGUUCGCAGCUCUUCCAGGGCUCGUGGACGGGGAGUUCACAGCUCUCUAGGGUCACUUGUGGCUGAGACUGACGUCGAUCUCCUGCCCAUAUUCUGAUGAGGACGAAACCCACCAUUGACGUAAUGUUUGUUAUGCUGUGUGCUGAGACACACAUUGUCCAUCUAAAACUGUAUGAAAGUUAUUAUUUAGAAGAGUUAUUACUCAACUAUAAGACUUCAUUUAACCCACCUAAGGGAAGAUCAUCACCUACAGACUAGUUGAAGGUCAACAAUAUGUUCACCUUCGACGAGCGCCAAGGUGUUUCCAAAGGGCGUCCUCUCAGGAUCCGGGCGCCUUUUUAAACUUUUAAAUUCCAUCCUUUUUCAUUAAUCAAAACACGCGCGCAAGUAUCACCACCUCCGCUUUGUACAUAACGCAGCAUGAAGCAUUUCAAGCGAAUAUAUGCUGUAGCUUCCUGACGAGAGAUAACUAAUGCCUUCGUACAUGUCUCAAUAUUCACUAGACCGAGGUCAGAGGUCACCGAACCCUUGGUCAGGCUGAGUGGCUGCUGUCACUCGGCCAACUAGAGUGGCUGUUGUCACUCAGCCCAGUAGAGUGGAUGCUAUCACUGGGCCAAGAGAAGUGAUCCUCUCGGCCAGAAUGCGUGAAUCUCGUCCAGAGAAGAUUUGGGUGCACAAAUUUCACUUUCAUUUGGCUUGGCAUUGCUCAAAACCUGCAACGACGUCGCUCUGUAAACGACAAAAAUGAAGAAAAAACUAUAUACCGGUAUACAUAAAGAAAUUUUGUCGACGACUGCUGUUGAGGCGACGCUGUCAAAGGUGUCCGCUGUCAACCUCUCGUAUGGUGCCUCGUGAUUAUCCCCCAUAGAAUUUUCUUGUCAAAUCUUAAUAAACUAUUUUUUUGUGUAUCUAGCGGAGAUCUGACCAACCAUAUGUUCAUUAUUUUUCCAAAGGCUUCGGAGAGGAUUCUUGAAGGUGAAGCUCUCCUGAGGGACCAGUUUGUAUGGCAUUAUGGCAGAAGGAAUUUAUACAUAUAUAUUUUCACUUAGAAACAAUGUAGUGUGUGACUGGCGAUGAUGUAGAGAACAUGUAAUUUUCUAUCGUGGAGUGAAUAAAGUAACGUUAUUAUGAUUUACUCGUUAAUGGAGGAUUUAGGCGAAGACAAAUCAAACGGCCCAUUAUUUCCUCACAUGCGUUCUCCCUGUGGUUCUUAUCAGUCUGUUGACCUCACACAAUCAAUACAGGAUCGACGUGGAUUCCUAAUGACAUGUUUACCCCUUAAUUAUAUAUAUAAAGAUGUAUUAAGAUUUAUAUUAAGAAAAUGCUAUUGUAAGAAAAUCCUUUGUAUAGCAGUAAAAGGCCUAGGGAAGUCCAUUAUCUACAACCCCUCUGUUCUUAGCCUUAUCGUUUAUCAUUAUUGUAAAUAACUGUGGUGUUCAGGGAUGUGGUGUAGCCUGCCAGGGUCACUCAGUACUAAUCCUAAAGGGUACCGGGGAAUCUUAAAAGGAUCUAAGGUCAUCAUUUAAGGUCCUACCCUCAAAUUAUCGCCAGUACUUUGAUAAACGUAAACUGUAAAAAGAGUCAUCAUAACACGGACUGGGUGGAGACAGAGGGGGAUGGUGGCGAUGGUUCCUUCUUAUAGAGUGACAUGUCAGGCGAGACUUAAGGGUCAGAUCUCAGAGUUUUCCUAAUAUUUAUUUGCAAAAGGAGACAGACAAUUACAUGACCCCCUUCCCGGAUAGUCUCUCAGCUUGAAGACGAUGGAGCACAGCUUUGUAUCACUGAAAAAGCUUAAAGCUGUUUCUUGGUGCCACAAAAAAUGCUCAAGUUUCUUAAUGCGGUUUAGAUGACAUGGAAGAGUCUUAGGUUACUCGGGUCAAAGGGAGGAAAAAAAAUAUUGUGUGUGUUUGUGUGUGUAGACUCCUGGUGCCGUCACAGAAGAGGCUACGGAGACUCACAGACCUACCGCGCUGAGCCAGACUCAUUGAUGUGCUGAGGCGUUCGUGUGUCCCUCACCCGUACUCAUCAAUUCAUUCAGGUUAUCAAUGGUGUUACCCCCUACCCCCCCCCCUUCCAUCCUUAAACCUCCCCACCUCCUUCCUUACACCCCCACCACCCCUUUCCUUACACCCUCACCCCCUUCCUUA